rnacentral:rRNA from 1 species
GACGAACGCUGGCGGCGUGCUUAACACAUGCAAGUCGAACGGAAAGGCCCUGCUUUUGUGGGGUGCUCGAGUGGCGAACGGGUGAGUAACACGUGAGUAACCUGCCCUUGACUUUGGGAUAACUUCAGGAAACUGGGGCUAAUACCGGAUAGGAGCUCCUGCUGCAUGGUGGGGGUUGGAAAGUUUCGGCGGUUGGGGAUGGACUCGCGGCUUAUCAGCUUGUUGGUGGGGUAGUGGCUUACCAAGGCUUUGACGGGUAGCCGGCCUGAGAGGGUGACCGGCCACCAUGGGGCCGAGGUUAUGCCCCAGAUUCUUACGGAAGCCGGAAGGGGGGAUUAUUACCCAAUGGACGAACGCCUGAUGCAGAACCCCCGCGUGGGGAGUGCCGACCUUCGGUUUGUAAACCGUUUUGCCCUGUAACAACGCUUGGGUGCCGGUAAUGGUUAAGGAACCACCGCCUACCUCCGU